rnacentral:sRNA from 1 species
AAAAUCGGGGCACGGUCAUCGUGGAGCGCUGGUGGAAGGUACCGCUGGCCGGGGAGGGCCGGAAGCCGCGCCUGCACCGGCGACAUCGCGUCUAUAAGCUGGUGGAGGACACGAAGCAUCGGCCCAAAGAAAACCUGGAGCUCAUCCUGACGCAGUCGGUGGAGAAUGUUGGAGUCCGGGGUGACCUGGUCUCAGUGAAGAAAUCUUUGGGCCGGAAUCGACUCCUUCCUCAGGGACUGGCUGUAUAUGCAUCCCCUGAAAACAGGAAGCUGUUUGAAGAGGAGAAAUUGGUGAGCUCAAAGGAAGGACAGAGAGACUUGGAGAGAUAAAACUUCUUUUAUCUCGCAG